ACCAAGAUGAAAAAGGGACUAUCGGGGAUGACUAGCCAAUACAUCCAAAGGAGGUAGUUUAUACCAAAAUUCGUAAUGAAUGAUUUAAUAAUUACGAAAAUCCUAAGGGAAACCAAUAUAAUAAUAACUCUACGAACUGAAACAUCUAAGUAGUAGAAGGAAAAGAAAUCAACCGAGAUCCCGUUAGUAGUGGUGAGCGAAAGCGGGUUAGCCUAUUUUCUAACGGAAUGGUUUUACCAUUCCGUGAAUUUCCCAUCUUUGGUGGGGAAUUAAAAUUAAAUUAUAAUUUGUUUGGAAUGACAAACCAUAGAGGGUGAAAGUCCCGUAAUAAGAUAAAUUAGAAAAGUAGUAAGUAAGAUGAGAGAUAACUUGUCUGAAUAUAGGGGAACCAUCCUCUAAGGCUAAAUAUGAUGUAUUGAGCGAUAGUGAAGAGUACCGUGAGGGAAAGUUGAAAAGUAAGUAGGUAACUGGUGAAAAGAUCCUGAACCGGUAGUUCUAUAAGCAGCAGGAAUCUGAGUUUAAAUACAAGAUAACUGCGUACCUUUUGCAUAAUGGGUCAGCGAGUUAAUCUGUGGUGCAAGUAGAAAUACUUAGCGAAAGCGACUACGUUAAAUGGGUAAGUACCAUGGAUUAGACCCGAAACCAGGUGAUCUUACCAUGACCAGGUCAUUAAGGACCGAACCAGUGCCUGUGGCAAUAGGCUUGGAUGAGUUGUGGUAAGGGG
rnacentral:ncRNA from 1 species